rnacentral:rRNA from 1 species
GGGCACGACACCGGAGAGGGAGCCUGAGAAACGGCUACCACAUCCAAGGAUGGCAGCAGGCGCGCAAAUUACCCAAUCCCGACACGGGGAGGUAGUGACAAUAAAUAACAAUACGGGGUUCUUUAGGAUCUCGUAAUUGGAAUGAGUACAAUUUAAAUCUCUUAACGAGGAACAAUUGGAGGGCAAGUCUGGUGCCAGCAGCCGCGGUAAUUCCAGCUCCAAUAGCGUAUAUUAAAGUUGUUGCAGUUAAAAAGCUCGUAGUUGAAUUUCGGGGUUAGUAGGUUGGUCAUGCCUCUGGUAUGUACUGGUCUCACUGAUUCCUCCUUCCUGAUGAACCGUAAUGCCAUUAAUUUGGUGUUGCGGGGAAUUUGGACUGUUACUUUGAAAAAAUUAGAGUGUUUAAAGCAAGCUAACGCUUGAAUACAUUAGCAUGGAAUAAUGAAAUAGGACGUUCGAUCCUAUUUUGUUGGUUUCUAGGAUUGACGUAAUGAUUAAUAGGGAUAGUUGGGGGCAUUAGUAUUCAAUUGUCAGAGGUGAAAUUCUUGGAUUUAUUGAAGACUAACUACUGCGAAAGCAUUUGCCAAGGAUGUUUUCAUUAAUCAAGAACGAAAGUUAGGGGAUCGAAGACGAUCAGAUACCGUCGUAGUCUUAACCAUAAACUAUGCCGACUAGGGAUCGGAUGAUGUUAAUUUUUUAAUGACUCAUUCNGCGCCUUACGGGAAA